GAAGGAGAAAAAGAUCUAUAGUUGGAUGAACAUGUGGAGUAAAUCAACUGUACUGGUUUACCUUGGUGUUUGAAAAAUCCUCUAGCUUGAGAGAAACAAGUUUUAGAACCCGUAAAAAGUCACCCAGACCUUAGAUCUAUGAUGUUGAAGAGGAAGUGGGCAUGAAUCCUGACGCCAAGAGAUAAGUGAAGCUACUUACGAUUGGUGAGCUCCAGGGGGCGAUACGUAUCCCACAGGUCCCCCUGAGACCACCCUUCGCUUUGGGCCACCAAUAAAUCCAACAGGGGACAUAGAACCACGUCCAGAAGAAGAGGAGGAAGAAGAACUGCUGCCUGAACCAACAGAUUUUGGUCGUCCCUCCGGAAGCCUGCUCUGUGAACCGCAUGACCCCAGGGAGGAUAGCACCCUGUUUUCUGCAGGGACAAGGGCAAAAAUGUUUGUGUUUGAGCUGCUUCACUGGGCUGGAUGUCCAUGAAGGGCUUGUUUCCAAUACCCAAGAACACUCUCUCCUGCAUGCGGACCUCUGAAAAGAUCUCAAAACACAAGCCGCUGUCACCACUGUUCUGCGUCAUGCCGAUAUCAGACGUCUGCAUGCAACAGAAGGACAACAUGGUUUCUUUAGAUUGAUGUUCCAAAUGCAGCAACACUUCUGAGUAUGUGUGUGAAUGCACACGUUGAACUAAAUGGGUACCUUAAAGGAUUGUUUAUAGACGUAUGUGUCAUUUCUCCCGUCCGUCUUUCUGGUCUUGCUGAAGAGAACGAGGUCUUGAAAGAGGAAAAUGUGACGG